rnacentral:rRNA from 1 species
CAGUAGCCGCGGUAAAACGUAGGUCCCGAGCGUUGUCCGGAUUUAUUGGGCGUAAAGCGAGCGCAGGCGGUUAGAUAAGUCUGAAGUUAAAGGCUGUGGCUUAACCGUAGUACGCUUUGGAAACUGUCUAACUUGAGUGCAAGAGGGGAGAGUGGAAUUCCAUGUGUAGCGGUGAAAUGCGUAGAUAUAUGGAGGAACACCGGUGGCGAAAGCGGCUCUCUGGCUGUAACUGACGCUGAGGCUCGAAAGCGUGGGGAGCAAACAGGAUUAGAUACCCCAGUAGUCCCUGUCUCUUAUACAC